GAAAUUGUAUUCUCCAGCUAUUUUUAAGACGUCCAUGCGGUUAGACGUUUCGAAAACAAAUUUCGAGCAAAUCUUCGGCAUUCACAAAGGAUGUGGCUCAUAUUCGUGCACUCAUUGCUGUAAAUGGAAUGAGUACACUUUAAAUCUUUUGACAAGGACCAAUUGGAAGACAAGUCUAGCAUCAGCAGCCACAAUAACUCCCGCUCCAAUGGCGUAUGUAAAGAAGUAAAACCUUUGCAGUUAAACUUAUGUUUCAUACAGGCAGUACAACUACAACUGUGGGUUGUACUACCCCUUGUAGGCGGUUUACCGAUGGAGUUCUAAUAAUACUUGUAUUCUUUGCAUAUUCCACACAAUUAAACUAGAGCCAAUGCUGUUCAUCGUGUGUGCUUUGGCCUUAUAGCAGGCUUCUAAUGCUUAAAUAUUUUGAAUAUUGAAUAUUUUGAAUGGUUAAAUAUUUUUUGCAUGGAAUAAUGAAAUAAGAUCUCUGGUCAGCUUUCAUUGGUUUUUAGAUCAUAGUAGUAAAUGGAGGCAUUAAUGUGGCGAUGUGCGAGAUAUGAAUUUCUUGGGGCGUUGUAAGACUAACUUAAUCGAAAACAAUUGGUAAAGGUGCUUUUACUAAUCAAAAACAAAAGUUAGAGGUUCGAAGGCGAUGAAAUAAUGCUCCUGUUUUAACCAAGCUAGCAAUUAAAAGUAGCUCCCCCGGGAAUGAAAGCUUUUGAACUCCUGGGGUGGUAUGGUUGCAAUCUGAAGGAAUUGACAGAAGGACAUCAACAGAAAAGGAGCCUGCGACUUAAUUUGGUUCAACAUGGGAAAACUUACCAGGUUCGAGCAUAAGUGUGUAAGAAAAAUUGAUAACUCUUUCUCGAAUUUAUGGGUGGCAGUAUAUGGCCGCUCAUAGUUCGUGAAGUGAUUUGUCGGGUUAUUUUCGAUAACGAACGAGACGCAAGUAUACUAAACAGAUACUUUCAGGAUUAUGGUGUUGAAGCUUCAUUUACGAACGCAGCAAAAUGUGUGAGUGCUUGAAUGUGUCCAUAAAAGUGGAGCGGUACCUUUUAUAAGGCACUUGCUUUUUAAAUAGAAAAAUUGGAUUUAGCAAUAGUGAGAUUGAAGUGUAACAGGUCUGCGAAGCCUUUAGAUGUCUUGAGCUGCUGUCCGCGCAACGUGCACUUCCUAAGCCAAGGGGUCCGGGUAAGCCGCUGAACUAUUUUCAUGAUUGGAAUUAUGAACUGCAGCUGUUCACAUGUUCCCAAUAAGUGUGAAUCAUUAAAUUGCGCUGAUUCUGUCUCUUCUCUUUGCACACACUGCUUUGUACUGCAGGUUGAAUUCUUUAGUAAAAUCUCGGAAUGUGAUCACCAUAAUGCAUUUUAUGUAUUGCGUAUGUUUCGCAAAAGUUGUCCGAACUUGAUUAUUUAGAGCAAGUAAAAGUCUUAAGCGUAAGACCUUGU
rnacentral:ncRNA from 1 species